GGAUGUGAGGGUGAUCUGGCUGUGACAUCUGUCACCCCACUGAUCUUCAGCGUUAGGCUCAUCUGGCUGGCUAGGUGGGUGUCCCCUCCCUCCCUCCCUGAUCCAUUUGCACAUCCCUCCAGAAGCUGAGAGCUCAGUCAAGAAGGAUGACCUUCUGGGAAUAGAGGAGGACCGUUCUUCAAUCAACGGUAUACAGAGUAGCUGCACCCACCUUCUAGAACCUCCAAACAAGCUCUACUGGCAUUUUUUUUUAAGUUAAGGAAAAGUCUUUUAAACCAAUCUGUGCAGACCAAGUCUUGCUUGAUAGUCUCUCUAA
rnacentral:snRNA from 1 species